AUUGAACGCUGGCGGCAUGCUUUACACAUGCAAGUCGGACGAGUAGCGGACGGGUGGGGAACAUAUCGGAACGUACCGAAUAAUGGGGGCUAACUAAUCGAAAGCUUAGCUAAUACCGCAUAUUAUUCGAGCGGCCGAUAGCGGAUUAGCUGGUUGGUGGGGUAAAGGCACACCAAGGGGACGAUCCGUAGCGGGUCUGAGAGGCGUAUCGGCCACACUGGGACUGAGACACGGCCCAGACUCCUACGUGAGGCAGCAGUGGGGAAUUUUGGACAAUGGGCGCAAGCCUGAUCCAGCCAUGCCGCGUGUCUGAAGAAGGCCUUCGGGUUGUAAAGGACUUUUGUCAGGGAAGCGGUACCUAAAGAAUAAGCACCGGCUAACUACGUGCCAGCAGCCGCGGUAAUUC
rnacentral:rRNA from 1 species